rnacentral:rRNA from 1 species
GAUGAACGCUGGCGGCGUGCCUAAUACAUGCAAGUCGAGCGAACAGACGAGGAGCUUGCUCCUCUGACGUUAGCGGCGGACGGGUGAGUAACACAUGGAUAACCUACCUAUAAGACUGGGAUAACUUCGGGAAACCGGAGCUAAUACCGGAUAAUAUAUUGAACCGCAUGGUUCAAUAGUGAAAGACGGUUUUGCUGUCACUUAUAGAUGGAUCCGCGCCGCAUUAGCUAGUUGGUAAGGUAACGGCUUACCAAGGCAACGAUGCGUAGCCGACCUGAGAGGGUGAUCGGCCACACUGGAACUGAGACACGGUCCAGACUCCUACGGGAGGCAGCAGUAGGGAAUCUUCCGCAAUGGGCGAAAGCCUGACGGAGCAACGCCGCGUGAGUGAUGAAGGUCUUCGGAUCGUAAAACUCUGUUAUUAGGGAAGAACAAAUGUGUAAGUGACUAUGCACGUCUUGACGGUACCUAAUCAGAAAGCCACGGCUAACUACGUG